UCCUACGGGAGGCAGCAGUAGGGAAUCUUCCGCAAUGGACGAAAGUCUGACGGAGCAACGCCGCGUGAGUGAUGAAGGCUUUCGGGUCGUAAAACUCUGUUGUUAGGGAAGAACAAGUGCUAGUUGAAUAAGCUGGCACCUUGACGGUACCUAACCAGAAAGCCACGGCUAACUACGUGCCAGCAGCCGCGGUAAUACGUAGGUGGCAAGCGUUAUCCGGAAUUAUUGGGCGUAAAGCGCGCGCAGGUGGUUUCUUAAGUCUGAUGUGAAAGCCCACGGCUCAACCGUGGAGGGUCAUUGGAAACUGGGAGACUUGAGUGCAGAAGAGGAAAGUGGAAUUCCAUGUGUAGCGGUGAAAUGCGUAGAGAUAUGGAGGAACACCAGUGGCGAAGGCGACUUUCUGGUCUGUAACUGACACUGAGGCGCGAAAGCGUGGGGAGCAAACAGGAUUAGAUACCCUGGUAGUCCACGCUGUAAACGAUGGGCACUCGGUGCCGCGGGUGUUGACCCCCGCGGUGCCUUAGCUAACGCGUUAAGUGCCCCGCCUGGGGAGUACGGCCGCAAGGUUAAAACUCAAAUGAAUU
rnacentral:rRNA from 1 species